CUUCUCACUCGUCCUGAUGACACUCGAAAAGCCGUCACUUCCCGUCCAACGGCGAGACAAUCCAGCACGUCGAUAGCUUUGCAACCCGACACCAAAGCAGAUCUUCGCGUCGACGAAUCGUUGAUAGGAUAAAUAACGAGAGAGCGCUACGAAAGAAACUACACGCGGAGAGGAGACAGGACUGGUGAUAACCUCUUCGUAGCUCAACGGUAGUUCUUCACCUCGAUCGUUACGCGAGGCCGGAGACGAAAAAGAGGACAAAGCACGUGGAUUAUUACGAGCCAAAUCGAGAAUUACGUUGAGCUCGUCGAGCAAACUUCCAGCAUAGACGGAAAGCCGAUUGAAAUUCGUGGGUUUCGGUGGAUGAGUGUAUCUCCAUGUAACUGCUUUGAGCAUUUUGUACUGAACCUUUAUAAGUUCGAGAACGUUGAACGCUCGAGUCCACAUAAAUAAAUCCAAAUCUGUUGUGGCUUUGGAUAGUUUUGUUGACUCAAUAUAAUUCAUUAUUGCAUCUAAUCGUGUGCCCGCUGCGAGAAAAGCGCCGUUCAAAACUGCCGUCCCGAUCGUCGAAAAUCGUCUGCAGAGGAAUUUCAAAUUCAAAUUGUUUUUUUUUUUUCAUCAUUUUAUUUUAUUCGUAGUACGUUAAAACUAGGAAAAUUUCGUAAUUAAUAUUGUGUCUCUGCAUUUAUUCUUUUAGCACACCCGAAUAUAUUUUCCAAGUUUUCCUUUUUAGGAGAAACAUUUUUUUUGGGAAACUCUCCAGGAACGAUGAAAGAUUGAAUUAGCGACCAGAGAUUUCAACGUCACGUCAAAGUACAUCACGAUCGCAUUGUUGUAUUUGGAGAAUAAACAAUAAAAAUUAUCCGAAAAAAUGUUAA